CCUACGGGCGGCAGCAGUGAGGAAUAUUGGUCAAUGGACGAGAGUCUGAACCAGCCAAGUAGCGUGAAUGAUGACUGCCCUAUGGGUUGUAAACUUCUUUUAUAUGGGAAUAAAAUGUUCCACGUGUGGGAUUUUGUAUGUACCAUAUGAAUAAGGAUCGGCUAACUCCGUGCCAGCAGCCGCGGUAAUACGGAGGAUCCGAGCGUUAUCCGGAUUUAUUGGGUUUAAAGGGAGCGUAGGUGGAUUGUUAAGUCAGUUGUGAAAGUUUGCGGCUCAACCGUAAAAUUGCAGUUGAAACUGGAAGUCUUGAGUACAGUAGAGGUGGGCGGAAUUCGUGGUGUAGCGGUGAAAUGCUUAGAUAUCACGAAGAACUCCGAUUGCGAAGGCAGCUCACUGGACUGCAGCUGACACUGAGGCUCGAAAGUGUGGGUAUCAAACAGGAUUAGAUACCCCGGUAGUC
rnacentral:rRNA from 1 species